UCGCAGAGUGAGAGAUGGAAGGUGGACGGAUCUGGCGGUAGCUGGCUCAGGGAUGCUGGACCCAGAGGCCUGGCGUGCAGGGCAUGGCGAUGACAAGACUGAGGCAUGAGGACGUCAAUAACCUGCCCAGGGUCCAAGAAGAGUGGCAGAGCUGGGACGGGCACCCAGGCCAUCUGACUCCCGACUCUGUUCCCAGUACAGUCACAGUUAGAAGAAGUGAUCCGUGGAAGAAAUGGGCUCAGGAAAAAAUUAGAGGCGGAAGAAGGGCCCUUGGGGCUUAGGAGAGAGGAAG